rnacentral:lncRNA from 1 species
GGGAAAGAUGAAAUAAAUCUUUUAUCAUGCCUAAUCUGUAUCCAUUGCAAUAUGCAGACUUUUAUUUUAUAUAUUCAUUGUAGUUAGCUUAGUGAAAUGUGUGCACUUUCCAACAGAAUCAAUCAUAGAAGACAAAAUACAGAUCUCAGAAGAAGAAAAGGAACAAAAGAGUGUUAGAACAAGCAAGAGGCCAUUUUUUUAUAAAGCAGAAGAUAAAGUUAAGCACUUUACAUGGAAUAUUCUCAUCCUGGAACUUGGACAACCCAGGCAUGAUUACCUGAAAAUUAUUCUGACCAUCCAUAAAUAUUACAGCUGAGAAGAAAAUAUAUCCCUUCUCCACUAAUUGGUUCAAGGGAACCACAUAUUUUUUUUAUUUUUUAUUAUAGUGUUGUAUUGUAUUAUGUUAUAUUAUUUUUAGUUUUUAUUUCCUCUGGCUUGUUUUAUGUUUUAUUAUAUUAAUGUGUUAAAUUAUUUUCAGUGUUUAUUUUACAUUCUUGCUUUUCUCUUGAUGUAAAUAAUAUUCAUGUAUAUACUAUGAUGUGCUUUGUAGUAUGUUUUGUAAGGCAUCAUUUUUGAGAACA